UUGGAUUAUGUUUUUCCUGUUAGAUCUCACUGGUGGCCACCCCACAAUUUGUGCCCUGCAAACAUGAAUCAACAACAUAUUAUUAGACCUCAUUUCUUCAAUUGAGUCAAAAGGGGUUAAAAAGUUUAGAUUUUUAAGUGUGUUUGGUGCACAAAACAUCUCACGUUAGCAGAGAUUGAAAAAGGACCACACCCCACAAUCUAUCCUAAUGCAUAUAUUAAUGACUACUUUCACGACUCAAACCAGACAACAACAUAUUAUAAGUCCUCAUUUCUUCAAUUGAGUCAAAAGGGGUUAAAAAGUUUAGAUUUUUAAGGGUAUCUAAUGCACAAAAUAUUUACAACACCCCAUAAUCUACUCUAAUACAAAUAUUAGUAACUUCGU
rnacentral:lncRNA from 1 species